rnacentral:rRNA from 1 species
GAUGAACGCUAGCGGCAGGCCUAACACAUGCAAGUCGAGGGGUAGAGGAAGCUUGCUUCCUUGAGACCGGCGCACGGGUGCGUAACGCGUAUGCAAUCUACCUUUUACAGAGGGAUAGCCCAGAGAAAUUUGGAUUAAUACCUCAUAGUAUUACGAUGUGGCAUCACAAUGUAAUUAAAGUUCCAACGGUACAAGAUGAGCAUGCGUCCCAUUAGUUAGUUGGUAAGGUAACGGCUUACCAAGACGAUGAUGGGUAGGGGUCCUGAGAGGGAGAUCCCCCACACUGGUACUGAGACACGGACCAGACUCCUACGGGAGGCAGCAGUGAGGAAUAUUGGUCAAUGGGCGCAAGCCUGAACCAGCCAUGCCGCGUGCAGGAUGAAGCAUCUAUGGUGUGUAAACUGCUUUUGUACGGGAAGAAACACUCCUACGUGUAGGAGCUUGACGGUACCGUAAGAAUAAGGAUCGGCUAACUCCGUGCCAGCCGCCGCCGUAAAAC